UCGAAGAAGGAUCGUGUUGGAAUAGUAACUUAUAAUAAUUUUUUAUAAAUUCUCUUAUAGCUUCUCGAACCGGGCUACAUCUAUCUAUAAAAAAUAGACUUUCAUUAGCUCCAAUAUAUUCAAAAGUGACUUUUUAAAACUUUAAAGUUUUUGGUUUGUCAACUUCCGGACAACUCUGAUCAACUACAGCAACACUGGACUGGAGAAAUGCAACUCGAUUUAAACUCGUCUACAUGUUUUGAAGACUUUUGAUCUGAUCAAAAAACUAAAACUCGAAAUUUGGCUUAGAUUCAAAAGCUAAGACUUGCGACUUGACUUAGACAGGAAAUGAAGUUCAUAAUGAACUCAAGAAAGACCUUAAGAUUAUGGACCCUUUAUUAUAAUGAUGGAUUUAAAAUGAGCUCAAAAGAAAUCUAAGGACUCGAACUGGACUCAAUAAAAAUAUUCAAAGACUCGAUGAAAAUAUUUGAGCUAGAAUUGUGGGCAAAGACUUGAGACUCAAUUUGGAUUUGCAUUCUCAUGAUUUUUUCUCACCUUUAUUAAGCUUUUCUUUUAUUCUGAAAGACUAAUAGUAAUAAAUUUUAUACUGAUAGUUUAAUCAGAAAUUGGUUGAUUUUAUGUAGUAAAAAUGUCAUAUAUAAACUAGCAACAUGGCAUUGCCUUCAACUAUAAUGCAAUUUGUUACGUCAGUGAAAACGUCAUAUUAAAAUAUAUGUAUUUAAAAAAAACUUUGCUUUACUUAGAUAGACCCUCCUCACCUCAACCCACGCUAUUUUUGAUAAUAAAUUCAUUCCUUUUAUAUAAAGUAUGAACUUUGUAUUUUAUAAUGUGGUUUUAUAAAGUGAAAUACAUUUUUUAAUU
rnacentral:lncRNA from 1 species